rnacentral:rRNA from 1 species
CCUACGGGGGGCAGCAGUGGGGAAUAUUGGACAAUGGGGGGAACCCUGAUCCAGCCAUGCCGCGUGUGUGAAGAAGGUCCUCGGGUUGUAAAGCACUUUCAGUGAGGAAGAACGCCUGGUGGUUAAUACCCAUCAGGAAAGACAUCACUCACAGAAGAAGCACCGGCUAACUCCGUGCCAGCAGCCGCGGUAAUACGGAGGGGGCGAGCGUUAAUCGGAAUUACUGGGCGUAAAGCGCGCGUAGGUGGCUUGAUCAGCCGGUUGUGAAAGCCCCGGGCUCAACCUGGGAACGGCAUCCGGAACUGUCAAGCUAGAGUGCAGGAGAGGAAGGUAGAAUUCCCGGUGUAGCGGUGAAAUGCGUAGAGAUCGGGAGGAAUACCAGUGGCGAAGGCGGCCUUCUGGCCUGACACUGACACUGAGGUGCGAAAGCGUGGGUAGCAAACAGGAUUAGAUACCCGUGUAGUC